rnacentral:rRNA from 1 species
CGGGUGAGUAACACGUGGGUAACCUGCCCAUCAGAAGGGGAUAACACUUGGAAACAGGUGCUAAUACCGUAUAACAAUCGAAACCGCAUGGUUUCGGUUUGAAAGGCGCUUUUGCGUCACUGAUGGAUGGACCCGCGGUGCAUUAGCUAGUUGGUGAGGUAACGGCUCACCAAGGCAACGAUGCAUAGCCGACCUGAGGGGGUGAUCGGCCACAUUGGGACUGAGACACGGCCCAA